rnacentral:rRNA from 1 species
AGUGAACGCUGGCGGCAGGCCUAACACAUGCAAGUCGAACGGCAGCACAGGAGAGCUUGCUCUCUGGGUGGCGAGUGGCGGACGGGUGAGGAAUGCGUCGGAAUCUGCCUAUUUGUGGGGGAUAACGUAGGGAAACUUACGCUAAUACCGCAUACGACCUACGGGUGAAAGUGGGGGACCGAAAGGCCUCACGCAGAUAGAUGAGCCGACGCCGGAUUAGCUAGUUGGCGGGGUAAAGGCCCACCAAGGCGACGAUCCGUAGCUGGUCUGAGAGGAUGAUCAGCCAAACUGGAACUGAGACACGGUCCAGACUCCUACGGGAGGCAGCAGUGGGGAAUAUUGGACAAUGGGCGCAAGCCUGAUCCAGCCAUGCCGCGUGUGUGAAGAAGGCCUUCGGGUUGUAAAGCACUUUUGUCCGGAAAGAAAAGCAUCCGGUUAAUAACCGGGUGUCAUGACGGUACCGGAAGAAUAAGCACCGGCUAACUUCGUGCCAGCCGCCGCAGUAAGAC